UACAAAAUGAAGCAGGGCACAGGCUGGUAGAAUUUUGUCAAGAGACUACGAUGGUCAUAGCAAACACUCUUUUCCAACAACCCAAGAGAUGACUCUACACAUGGACAUAACCAGAGGUCAACACAGGAAUCAGAUUGACUGUGUGAUCUGCUGCCAAA